rnacentral:rRNA from 1 species
AUACGUAGGGGGCGAGCGUUGUCCGGAAUGAUUGGGCGUAAAGGGCGCGUAGGCGGCGCGGUAAGUCUGGAGUGAAAGUCCUGCUUUCAAGGUGGGAAUUGCUUUGGAUACUGCCGCGCUUGAGUGCAGGAGAGGUUAUCGGAAUUCCCGGUGUAGCGGUGAAAUGCGUAGAGAUCGGGAGGAACACCAGUGGCGAAGGCGGGUAACUGGACUGCAACUGACGCUGAGGCGCGAAAGUGUGGGGAGCAAACAGGAUUAGAUACCCUGGUAGUCCACACUGUAAACGAUGAAUGCUAGGUGUAAGAGGUAUCGACCCCUUUUGUGCCGGAGUCAGCACAAUAAGCAUUCCGCCUGGGGAGUACGGCCGCAAGGUUGAAACUCAAAUGAAUUGACGGGG